rnacentral:rRNA from 1 species
GAGAGUGGCGAACGGGUGAGUAACACGUGAGUAACCUGUCCUUUUCUUUGGGAUAAGCUCCUGAAAGGGUGUUUAAUACCUUAUGUUCCGUCUUCUCCGCAUGGGGUUGGUGGGAAAGAUUUGUUUCGGUAAAGGGUGGGCUCGCGGUCUAUCAGCUUGUUGGUGGGGUGAUGGCUUACCAAGGCUUUGACGGGUAGCCGGCCUGAGAGGGUGGUCGGUCACAUUGGGACUGAGAUACGGCCCAGACUCC